CAUGCAAGUCGAGCGGUAACAGAUCCAGCUUGCUGGAUGCUGACGAGCGGCGGACGGGUGAGUAAUGCAUAGGAAUCUGCCCGAUAGUGGGGGAUAACCUGGGGAAACCCAGGCUAAUACCGCAUACGUCCUACGGGAGAAAGGGGGCUCCGGCUCCCGCUAUGGGAUGAGCCUAUGUCGGAUUAGCUAGUUGGUGAGGUAACGGCUCACCAAGGCCACGAUCCGUAGCUGGUCUGAGAGGAUGAUCAGCCACAUCGGGACUGAGACACGGCCCGAACUCCUACGGGAGGCAGCAGUGGGGAAUAUUGGACAAUGGGGGAAACCCUGAUCCAGCCAUGCCGCGUGUGUGAAGAAGGCCCUCGGGUUGUAAAGCACUUUCAGCGAGGAAGAACGCCUAGCGGUUAAUACCCGCUAGGAAAGACAUCACUCGCAGAAGAAGCACCGGCUAACUCCGUGCCAGCAGCCGCGGUAAUACGGAGGGUGCAAGCGUUAAUCGGAAUUACUGGGCGUAAAGCGCGCGUAGGUGGAUUGAUAAGCCGGUUGUGAAAGCCCCGGGCUCAACCUGGGAACGGCAUCCGGAACUGUCAAGCUAGAGUGCAGGAGAGGAAGGUAGAAUUCCCGGUGUAGCGGUGAAAUGCGUAGAGAUCGGGAGGAAUACCAGUGGCGAAGGCGGCCUUCUGGACUGACACUGACACUGAGGUGCGAAAGCGUGGGUAGCAAACAGGAUUAGAUACCCUGGUAGUCCACGCCGUAAACGAUGUCGACCAGCCGUUGGGUGCCUAGCGCACUUUGUGGCGAAGUUAACGCGAUAAGUCGACCGCCUGGGGAGUA
rnacentral:rRNA from 1 species